rnacentral:rRNA from 1 species
GACGAACGCUGGCGGCGUGCUUAACACAUGCAAGUCGAACGAUGAACCCGGAGCUUGCUCCGGCGGAUUAGUGGCGAACGGGUGAGUAACACGUGAGUAACCUGCCCUUGACUCUGGGAUAACUGCUAGAAAUGGUAGCUAAUACCGGAUACGACCCUCGGCGGCAUCGCCAGGGGGUGGAAAGAAUUUCGGUCAAGGAUGGACUCGCGGCCUAUCAGCUAGUUGGUGAGGUAACGGCUCACCAAGGCGACGACGGGUAGCCGGCCUGAGAGGGUGACAGCCCACCGUGGGACUGAGACCUGCCCCAGACUCCUAGGGGAGGCAGCAGUGGGGAAUAUUGCACAAGGGGCGAAAGCCUGAUGCAGCAACGCCGCGUGGGGGAUGCCGGCCUUCGGGUUGUAAACCUCUUUUAGUAGGGAAGAAGCGAAAGUGACGGUCCCUGCAGAAAAAGCACCGGCUAACUACGUGCCAGCCGCCGCAGUAA